rnacentral:tRNA from 3 species
GUCAUUAUAGUUUAAAAAAAACAUUGAAUUGUGGUUUCAAAAAUGCUUUCCUAGCUAAUAACC